UCGGCAGCGGCGUUUUCAGUCCAGAAAGAACAGGGUAGAGAAAGGGGGGCGGCCGGGAAGCGGGAGUAAAACUUCACUCCUCCGAGAAAAGAAGCAGAACUGCAAAACGUUGGGAUAAUUAAACGUAGGUGUCUUGGAGGGAGUCAAGAAUGAUGCAGUGUUAUGGUAGAGUGGCCCUGCAGUCUUUGUUCUGCAGAGAAGACUGGAGACUCAUCUUCAGGUUCUUUACAUUUCUUGCUCCGAUGCUUAUCAUUUGGAUUCUUCGGAUGGCUUUGCUGUUUAUGGAUGGAAAAGAUUGAAA